rnacentral:lncRNA from 1 species
CCAAAAAAAAAAAUCAAAAAUUCAUUUUCAGCCCUUGCUUCAAAAAAAAACUGAAGGGUGACUCAAAGCCUCUCUCCCUCUCCUCUUCUCCGGCCAAUAGGGCCACCAUCUGUCCGUCGGCUACCCGCCGGCCACCGGCGACGGCACCGCCGUGCAUGGUUGCCGGGAAACCCAAAAGUGCCCCUUUUUAGCCCGUUUUAAGCCUAAAUUUUAGAUCUAGAAGACAAAUGCCUGAAAAGUAAAAAAAAGAAGAAAAGAUUCGACCUUUGCCCCCCUUUUUUACCGAUCUCGACGCCGGGGAAAAGACCACCAACGGAGGGGCCACGGGCCGAUUCUGGUAAGUGUGUUUUCCUUUUUAUUUGUUAAAACAGUUGUAAAGAAAAUAAAUAAAUAAAAGAUGAAUAAAAAAGAAAACCAAAAAUAAAACAAUAGAAUCUCAACCUUUUUUCAACUUCUAUUCUGUUUUUGAUUUCUGAUGUGUGUUCGAAAAAAAAAAGGAAGAAGAGAACCGAUUACAAUAUUUGUGUUCGGACUAUAUAGCCGAUUUUUUUACAACCCCUAAACUUCUAUUUUUGUCGUUUUGCUAUUUGUUUCUUCUGUUGUUGCGUGCUGCUUGGUGCAGGCGACGGCAGAGGCGUGCGAGUAGGUCGGCAGAGGCGGCCAAGAGCAGAGGCUUGAAGACCUAGGUGCGGCGUACCUAGGUUUUUUCUUGGCUGAAAUGUGUUUAGUUUUUUGUGGGUUAGGGUUGGUUGGGGUAUUGGGCUAAAAAUUGGGCCAUUUGUAUUUUUUUGGGCCUGUUGUAUUUUAUUUUCUUGGGUUGUAAGCCCGAUCAAAUUUGGGCAUUCACACAAGCCACUAUCAUUUCAACCACUCAAUCAGAAGGAUAACAAGAUUUUCCUAUCAUUAACUGUUAGCUACAUAUUUUCUUUCUUCGAGCCUAUUUUGCACUUCAAACACCG